GUACCGGUGUAACCUCGUAGGGGUAUGAGAUAGGCAAAUCCGUCUCAUAGCUAUCCCCGAGAAGGGAAUCCGUGGAGAGUAACUUCUCCUAAAGUCAUAAUUUCUCGACGCACAAGAAAAGCUUCGGAGUGAGUUUUGUGUUGACUCGUACCGGAAACCGACACAGGUGGGCGAGGAGAGUAUCCUCAGGCGCGUGAGAGAACUCCAGUUAAGGAACUCUGCAAAUUACUCUCGUAACUUAGGGAUAAGAGAGCCCAAAAUUAGGUGAUGGAUCCUCGCGAUCUUGAGCUGAAAUUGGGGGCAGAAACUAGGGGGUAUCGACUGUUUAACAAAAACACAGGGCUCUGCAAACUCAUUCGAGGAUGUAUAGGGUCUGACGCCUGCCCGGUGCCGGAAGGUCAUGGGGAGAGGUCAUGGGAGUAAUCCCAGAAGCUUCGAACUUAAGCCCCGGUAAACGGCGGCCGUAACAAUAACGGUCCUAAGGUAGCGAAAUUCCUUGUCGGGUAAGUUCCGACCUGCACGAAGGGCGUAACGAAUUCCCCACUGUCUCGACUGGAGACUCAGCGAAGUUGGAGUCGCGGUGCAGAUACCGUGUUCCUGCGGCAAGACGGAAAGACCCCGUGAACCUUUACUGUACCCUGGCAUAGAACAGCUGGGAAUUCUGUGUAGGAUAGGUGGGAGCCUUUGAAGCCUGGGCGCUAGCUUAGGUGGAGGCAACCUUGAAAUACCACCCUGGAUUCUUGGCUGUUCUCACCGUAGGUCGUAUAACCGGCCACGGGACGAUGUCAGGCGGGCAGUUUGACUGGGGCGGUCGCCUCCCAAAAAGUAACGGAGGCGCACGAAGGUACCCUCAGACUGAGUGGAAACCAGUCGUAGAGUGCAAGAGCAUAAGGGUGCUUAACUGCAAGACGGACAUGUCGCGCAGAUACGAAAGUAGGUUCUAGUGAUCCGGUGGUUCUGUAUGGAAGGGCCAUCGCUCAACGGAUAAAAGGUACUCCGGGGAUAACAGGCUUAUCUCCCCCAAGAGUUCACAUCGACGGGGAGGUUUGGCACCUCGAUGUCGGCUCAUCGCAUCCUGGGGCUGGAGCAGGUCCCAAGGGUUUGGCUGUUCGCCAAUUAAAGCGGUACGCGAGCUGGGUUCAGAACUUCGUGAGACAGUUCGGUCCCUAUCUGCCGUAGGUGUUGGAGAAGUGAGAAGUGCUGUCCUUAGUACGAGAGGACCGGGAUGGACGGACCGUUAGUGUGCCAGUUGUCACGCCAGUGGCAGUUGCUGGGUAGCUAUGUCCGGACGAGAUAACCGCUGAAAGCAUCUAAGUGGGAAACUCUCUUCAAAACAACUUCUCCCGGGACGUUUAGUCCCCUUUAAGUCCCCCUGUAGACGACAGGGUUGAUAGGGUGGGUGUGUAAGUGAAGUAAUUCACUCAGCUGACCACUACUAAUCGGACGAGAGGCUUAUCUAA
rnacentral:rRNA from 1 species